GAUGAACGCUGGCGGCGUGCUUAACACAUGCAAGUCGAACGAGAAAUGGAGACGGAAACCUUCGGGCGGAAGGCUUCAUUUCGAGUGGCGGACGGGUGAGUAACGCGUGGGUAACCUGCCUCAUACAGGGGGAUAACAGUUGGAAACGACUGUUAAUACCGCAUAAGACCACAGCACCGCAUGGUGCGGGGGUAAAAACUCCGGUGGCAUGAGAUGGACCCGCGUUCGAUUAGCCAGUUGGCGGGGUAACGGCCCACCAAAGCGACGAUCGAUAGCCGAUCUGAGAGGAUGACCGGCCACAUUGGGACUGAGACACGGCCCAAACUCCUACGGGAGGCAGCAGUGGGGAAUAUUGCACAAUGGGGGAAACCCUGAUGCAGCGACGCCGCGUGAGUGAAGAAGUACUUCGGUAUGUAAAGCUCUAUCAGCAGGGAAGAAAAUGACGGUACCUGAGUAAGAAGCCCCGGCUAACUACGUG
rnacentral:rRNA from 1 species